rnacentral:rRNA from 1 species
GAACGCUGGCGGCGUGCCUAAUACAUGCAAGUCGAGCGAACAGACGAGGAGCUUGCUCCUCUGACGUUAGCGGCGGACGGGUGAGUAACACGUGGAUAACCUACCUAUAAGACUGGGAUAACUUCGGGAAACCGGAGCUAAUACCGGAUAAUAUAUUGAACCGCAUGGUUCAAUAGUGAAAGACGGUUUUGCUGUCACUUAUAGAUGGAUCCGCGCCGCAUUAGCUAGUUGGUAAGGUAACGGCUUACCAAGGCAACGAUGCGUAGCCGACCUGAGAGGGUGAUCGGCCACACUGGAACUGAGACACGGUCCAGACUCCUACGGGAGGCAGCAGUAGGGAAUCUUCCGCAGAGGGCGAAAGCCUGACGGAGCAACGCCGCGUGAGUGAUGAAGGUCUUCGGAUCGUAAAACUCUGUUAUUAGGGAAGAACAAAUGUGUAAGUAACUAUGCACGUCUUGACGGUACCUAAUCAGAAAGCCACGGCUAACUACGUG